ensembl:snoRNA
UGGAUCGAUGAUGACCACUGUUCGAGUACGAGUUGUGUACGAUGAAUACGUGUCUGCAACUCUGAGGUCCGA